rnacentral:rRNA from 1 species
CAGUAGCCACGGUAAUACGUAGGUCCCGAGCGUUGUCCGGAUUUACUGGGCGUAAAGCGAGCGCAGGCGGUUAGAUAAGUCUGAAGUUAAAGGCUGUGGCUUAACCAUAGUACGCUUUGGAAACUGUUUAACUUGAGUGCAAGAGGGGAGAGUGGAAUUCCAUGUGUAGCGGUGGAAUGCGUAGAUAUAUGGAGGAACACCGGUGGCGAAAGCGGCUCUCUGGCUUGUAACUGACGCUGAGGCUCGAAAGCGUGGGGAGCAAACAGGAUUAGAGACCCCCGUAGUCCCUGUCUCUUAUACA